ACCAACAGGGAUUGCCCUAGUAACGGCGAGUGAAGCGGCAACAGCUCAAAUUUGAAAUCUGGCUCUUUCAGAGUCCGAGUUGUAAUUUGCAGAGGGCGCUUUGGCUUUGGCAGCGGUCCAAGUUCCUUGGAACAGGACGUCACAGAGGGUGAGAAUCCCGUACGUGGUCGCUAGCUAUUGCCGUGUAAAGCCCCUUCGACGAGUCGAGUUGUUUGGGAAUGCAGCUCUAAAUGGGAGGUAAAUUUCUUCUAAAGCUAAAUACUGGCCAGAGACCGAUAGCGCACAAGUAGAGUGAUCGAAAGAUGAAAAGCACUUUGGAAAGAGAGUCAAACAGCACGUGAAAUUGUUGAAAGGGAAGCGCUUGCAGCCAGACUUGCUUGCAGUUGCUCAUCCGGGCUUUUGCCCGGUGCACUCUUCUGCAGGCAGGCCAGCAUCAGUUUGGGCGGUGGGAUAAAGGUCUCUGUCACGUACCUCUCUUCGGGGAGGCCUUAUAGGGGAGGCGACAUACCACCAGCCUGGACUGAGGUCCGCGCAUCUGCUAGGAUGCUGGCGUAAUGGCUGUAAGCGGCCCGUCUUGAAACACGGACCAAGGAGUCUAACAUCUAUGCGAGUGUUUGGGUGUCAAGCCCGAGCGCGUAAUGAAAGUGAACGGAGGUGGGAACCCGCAAGGGUGCACCAUCGACCGAUCCUGAUGUCUUCGGAAGGAUUUGAGUAAGAGCAUGGCUGUUGGGACCCGAAAGAUGGUGAACUAUGCUUGAAUAGGGUGAAGCCAGAGGAAACUCUGGUGGAGGCUCGCAGCGGUUCUGACGUGCAAAUCGAUCGUCAAAUUUGGGCAUAGGGGCGAAAGACUAAUCGAACUAUCUAGUAGCUGGUUCCUGC
rnacentral:rRNA from 1 species